rnacentral:rRNA from 1 species
UACAGAGGUCCCAAGCGUUGUUCGGAUUCACUGGGCGUAAAGGGCGCGUAGGCGGCCUGCUAAGUCGGAUGUGAAAUCCCUCGGCUCAACCGAGGAACUGCAUCCGAUACUGGCGGGCUUGAAUCCGGGAGAGGGAUGUGGAAUUCCAGGUGUAGCGGUGAAAUGCGUAGAUAUCUGGAGGAACACCGGUGGCGAAGGCGGCAUCCUGGACCGGUAUUGACGCUGAGGCGCGAAAGCUAGGGGAGCAAACGGG